UACAGAGGGUGCAAGCGUUGUUCGGAAUUACUGGGCGUAAAGCGUGCGUAGUCGGUAUUGAGAGUCGCGGGUGAAAUCCCAGGGCUUAACCCUGGAACUGCCUGCGAGACCUCAGUACUAGAGUGUGAGAGGGGAUAGUGGAAUACCAAGUGUAGCGGUGAAAUGCGUAGAGAUUCGGUGGAACACCGGUGGCGAAGGCGGCUAUCUGGCUCACAACUGACGAUCAGGCACGAAAGCGUGGGGAGCAAACAGG
rnacentral:rRNA from 1 species